rnacentral:tRNA from 1 species
GGGUCGGUAGUUUAAAGGAUAGAAUAAACGGUUUCGGCCCGUUUGAUGGGGGUUCAAUUCCUCCCCGACCCA